rnacentral:rRNA from 1 species
GACAGAGGGUGCAAACGUUGCUCGGAAUCACUGGGCGUAAAGGGCGUGUAGGCGGGUAGAUAAGUCGGGCGUGAAAUCCCUAGGCUCAACCUAGGAACUGCACUCGAAACUGUUUAUCUUGAGUGCCGGAGAGGAAAGCGGAAUUCCUGGUGUAGAGGUGAAAUUCGUAGAUAUCAGGAGGAACACCAGUGGCGAAGGCGGCUUUCUGGACGGUAACUGACGCAUG